rnacentral:rRNA from 1 species
GACGGAGGAUGCAAGUGUUAUCCGGAAUCACUGGGCGUAAAGCGUCUGUAGGUGGUUUCAAAAGUCCACUGUUAAAGAUUGAAGCUUAACUUCAAAAAUGCCGUGGAAACUUUGAAACUUGAGUAUGAUAGGGGUAGAGGGAAUUUCCAGUGGAGCGGUGAAAUGCGUAGAUAUUGGAAAGACCACCAAUGGCGAAGGCACUCUACUGGGCCAUUACUGACACUGAGACGCGAAGGCUAGGGGAGCGAACGGG